GACUGGAUGGCGCAGUGGUUAGUGACUCUGCUUGUUGUGCCGAGGGUACCGGGUUCGAUUCCCGGCUGGGGCA
rnacentral:tRNA from 1 species